CCUACGGGUGGCAGCAGUGAGGAAUAUUGGUCAAUGGGCGCGAGCCUGAACCAGCCAAGUAGCGUGAAGGAUGACUGCCCUACGGGUUGUAAACUUCUUUUAUAAAGGAAUAAAGUGAGGCACGUGUGCCUUUUUGUAUGUACUUUAUGAAUAAGGAUCGGCUAACUCCGGGCCCGCAGCCGCGGUAAUACGGAGGAUCCGGGCGUUAUCCGGAUUUAUUGGGUUUAAAGGGGGCGUAGUUGGGUUGUUAAGUUAGUUGUGAAAGUUUUGGGCUUAAACCUAAAAUUGCAAUUGAUACUGGCAGCCUUGAGUACAGUUGAGGUAGGCGGAAUUCGUGGUGUAGCGGUGAAAUGCUUAGAUAUCACGAAGAACUCCGAUUGCGAAGGCAGCUUACUAAACUGCCACUGACAUUGAUGCUCGAAAGUGUGGGUAUCAAACAGGAUUAGAUACCCUAGUAGUC
rnacentral:rRNA from 1 species